AGACAAUUAGCUAAAUAUAUCCAAGAUGAACCUAUAUUUACUAAUUACAUACUGAUUGAUGUUAAUGGUCUGGUAUAUAACAUUUAAGCUAUGAGUAGACGAUUUUGGCUUCUGUAACGAUGAAAGCUUUGGCUGCCAAUUCUGACUCUGCAGAAAGCAAAAAUGUGACAGCUGAAUAAUGUGGUGUUUGAAGCCAUAAAUUUACAACUGGAGCAUUUCUAACCACGUGAUUUCUAUCCAUAUUUACAGGUAUAUUAUUUAGAUAAAUGUAAUAUACGAAGAAAAACUAAUGGAGGAAACUAAUUAACAAUAUGGUUAUAACAAUAUAAAAAAGAUAAGACAAACUAUCUCUCUACACAACAACCAAACAAACUAUCUCUUUACCACGAUACAAAAAUAUGGGUAACUCAUUUUUAUAUGAUAUUUAUAGUUUCGCUAAAAAGAUAUAUGUCCUGCAAAUUGCUCUUCAUUAGUCUCAAUUUAGAAAAACUACAAGCAUAUGAAAAGGAAUAUAUUUGGAGAUUUUCCAAUCCGUCUAACAACAAUGACAACACGUAAAAGUUUCAGCUUAUGUAAUUUGUAACCGCUAGGACAUAGUGUUAUAUAUGAUCUAACAUAACAUGUACCAGAUAAUAAAUUAUAUAUUAGCAAACAUAACAUGUACUAGGUAACAAAAUCAUCUAUCAAUUUUUUAUAUCAAAUUAUAUAUUAGGUAACAGAACAUGUACCAUGUAACAAAUAUUUUAUCAGAUAACAAGUCUAUGUAGCAUACCAACCAUUUAUUAAUAAUUUGAUAUCAACUAUGUAUAAGUUAAAAUAACAUGUACAAUGUAACAAACUAAUUUAUCAUACAAUGUAACAAACUAAUUUAUCAGAUAACAACCAAUUUAUCAAAAAAUGUAUCAACUCGCAAACCAUAUAUCUACCAAUUUAUUAAAUAAGAAACCAUGUUUGAAACAAUGUAUAAGUCGACAAACUAUUUACCAAAACAUUUACCAAUUAAUUAAAUACCUAUGAUCUUCCCAAAAGUUAAUUAAAUUCAUACACUACAAAAAAGGGGAACAUUGUGACUAAAUUUUAUGACAAAAAGUUUUGUCACAAUAUUGUGACUAUUUACUUACUAGAUAGUGACUAAAUUUUUUUGUCGCAAAAUCGUAAAUAUUUUGUCACAAUAUUGCGAUGAAUGUAUAAGUAACAAAAAAACGUUACAAAAAGUUACAAAUAUGUGACGAAGUGGUUAGUCACAGAUGAUGUUACGGAAUCGAGACUAAAACUCGUCCCUACUAGAUACAAUUUCGCGACUUCCAUUAUGUCACCCACUAUGACUGAAGUUUGUAAUCAUAUAUCAUCUCAAUUCACUCAAAAUUUAAUCUUAUUCAAACAUUAAUCUUAAAUCUAUAAUCAAAACUCCAAACACCAUACCGUAAACUCCUAACUUUAAGUUAUAAAGAUUAAACCUUACACAUAAAGUAAUAAAUUAUAAUUACUAUAAACUUAACUAAUAUUUUACACUCAUACAACUUUUUUAAUUUUCAAUUCUAAUUUAAAAACCUUAACCUCGUACUUCUUUUUUUUUUUGAAAAAAGACAUAACCUCGUACUUUAAAGCUAAACCUCAAAUUGUAAUCCCCAAACUCCAAACCCUAAAUAAUAAAAGAUAACCUUCGACACUUUAAAUCAUUGUAGUUAAAAUCAUAAAUAAUAAACAAAACGUAAUCACUAAUUUUUAACAAAAAAUAUAAUCACUAAUUAUAUACAAAUACUUUAAACAUUUACAUAUAAAACUUAAUAAAUUUUAUUUUUUAAAAUAAAUUAAAUUUACAUACACUUUUUAAAAACCAGCAUGUUAAUCUUUUAUAAAUCUUGACACCAAACCCUAAAAACAAACUUCAAAUCAUAUACCCUAGAUAACUCUACUCUUGAACUUAGACUUUUAGUCAUAGAAAUUAAAUCACGAACUCUAAUAACAAACCUUCAACUUUAAACAAAUUCAUGCAACCAUAUACCCUAAACUCUAAAUUAUGUCUUAAUUUUUUUUUAAAUUAUCAUAAAAUUUAAUUCGUAAACCAUUACACCAACAUAUAACCAUUAAAUAUACUUAAACAAAAUUAAUCUAGUUUUAACAAAAAAAAAACAAUUUUAGUUUUCCCACGUUUUGAGAAUAUACAACUCGUUCUGGCUUCAUUUUUUUUAGGCAUUAAUCUAGUUAUCCCACGUUUUGAGAAUAUACCUUUUUUUUUGUAACUGCGUUUUGAGAAUAUACUUCUAUCUCAUAACCCUACUUUACUCUUCUGUCUCUUUCUUUUUAAUUUCGUGUAGCCUCCACCUACACUUUUCUCUCUUUCUCCAAACAAAUCAACAAUCCUCUUGAUUCUUUUUUUUUUGUUUCAGUUAUCCAUUUGAUUCUAUCUCUCUCAUUUUCUUAUCCCUUAGAACAUCUCUUUCUUUCCCCUUAUCUCUCUGUGAUUUUAAUUUAUAAUGUUUCAGAUUCAGUGUCAUGCUCUUCUCCCUCAUUAAAGGUAGAAACUCACGACCCUACUGCCUCUCGACGACUAUACUGAUCCGUACGUAAUGCAAAUGUUAUUAACAAGUUCAUAUUUCGGAUACAGAUCGAUGUAGCUAGAUAGAGCCAAUACAUCGUCGUAGAUUUGGCGACUACCCUGUUCGAGGCUUUCAUCAGGAAAAUAUGAAAAGCCAGGAGAAUACAAGGACAGCGGGGGUGUGGACAAGGGCAGAAGAAGAAUCUACAAAUGCCGAUUGUUUGCUGUAGUUUGAUAGAGACAAAGGAGACCAGUGUUACCCUAAUUUUCUUUGCUUUGGUUUGUAUUAUAAUUGGUUAUCUAGUACCAACUUAAUUUUUUGUAACCAGUUAACCAAUAUGUGGUUCAGAUAAUCAAUAAAAUAUAUUUUAGUUACAAUUU